UCUUCUUUAAAUCCACUCGUUUCUUCUUGCUGCUCUGCGAUCUGUUUGUUUUUACCAACUCAUAUAUCUCGACAUUAGCAGCAGUUAGCCGCUGUUUCAACAACUUUCUCAGCUGUUCCACCUUUUCCUGCUAACUUCGUCUUUUCUUCUUAUUCCGGUUUACUGUCGACCUUUGUGCUUCUGGAGCUCUUCAAAAAACAUAUUCGAGGAUCACAGAGUGAAUUUGAUGAGUUCAGACAAAAG